AAACGACGGUCCUUGCAAGAGAAAGAGAGAAAAGAUUUGGAGUGCGGAGCGUGCCUCCUAAGCUUGCGGCUUAUGAAACGGUGGGAGGAGGCGGUGUGCCUUGGUCUUCACGGACGGGAUUCGGCGUUUCCUCCCAACCCUGCGCUUUCCACGGAAGAGAGGCGAGGAGAGUUUGGGUGACUGCAGAGACCAGAAGAAAGCGUGGAAUCUCCAGGGGCUGGAGCUGAUUGUCAAUUGCCUGAUGUCGGUGAUGGGAACUAAAUCCAGGACUUCGUGAAAGCAGUACUAGUUUUAACUACUGAGCCCUUUCUCUAGCCCACUUGGUGGUGGUGGUGGGCCUGUGAAGCAUUUUGACUGUUUGUUGCAAUCCCCCCAACACGUGACAUCAUAUAGGGUCCCUGGUGAGCCGUCAAUGACUCUAUACCUCUGUUCCUACAGAAGACACAGAGAUCUUUAAUAGCCGUUGUUCCACCUCUUUGCCCUGGACCAAGGCCUCUGAACCCCAGGCUAGGUAGUUACCUCUGUCUUUCCUCUGGUGGUGCUCUCUGCAGGACCUGCCUCCAGUGCUUUUUGGGUCAUCUUGGGAAGCGAUUUUGGUUCAUGAAUCCCAGGAUCUUUGUCUACAAAAUGACCUGAGGUAGAGUGGCUUCAUAAGCACUCGGUGACCAUGAGGUGGAGCCUGAUGGAUGUGGGGUCACUGUUGUUGCAUCUGCUGGCCACACACCUGCAGAGUUGACUAUUCAAUUGAGAACUAGGCAGACCCCUCUAUGAGUAAAUUGAAUGGAGCUUGGGUUGGAACAAAACCCUCAAAUAGCUGUUGCAGGCACAGGCUGGGUUCUAAGGCAAAACAAAGGGACACUUGGCUAUUCUUUCUCUAAACUGAGCUCCUGGGCCCUUCGGCAUGUGUGAUAGGGGUCAGUCUGGAAGAGUGGGGGAGCAGGCCAGGUUCAUAUCUCCCCAUCUAGGAGCCCUGGCAGGGCUGAGGCCAUGGAUUACUUUGCUUGUAUCCUCAGAGCUCAACACAGGGCAUGGCACAGAACAGGCACUCAUUAAUCAAGUUUAAGUUAACAAAUAAACAUAACCCUGGG
ensembl:antisense 9130410C08Rik RIKEN cDNA 9130410C08 gene